rnacentral:tRNA from 1 species
UUCCUCAUAGCUCAGUUGGUAAAGAAUCUGCUUGCAAUGCAGGUGACCCAGGUUUCAUUCCUAGGUAGGGAAG